rnacentral:rRNA from 1 species
GGGUGCGAUCAUACCAACGUUAAUGCACCGGAUCCCAUCAGAACUCCGCAGUUAAGCGAGCCUGGGCUAGAGCAGUACUGGGAUGGGUGACCUCCCGGGAAGUCCUAGCGUUGCCCCCU